UAUACUCAUCUGUUUAAUCUAGUUCUGCUACUUCUUCUUAAACUUCUUGUUAGAUUUCAAGUCUGUAUUUUGUGUCCGUGACAGUUUGUUGAGACUGCACUAACUUGAGAUAUCACAGCUAGUUUUUUCUUAGUAGAGUGUAGAUUACCCCUCUACUUGAAGGUAUACUAGCAUUUUUUAGAGGUUGCGGAUUACCCUCCUCUAAACUGAUACUUCUUCUGUUAUAAUAUUGGAGUCUUAUUCUUCUUGGAGAGAGUGGAUUACCCCUCUUCUUGAAAUUCUUAAGGCGUUUUAUAGGUUGUGGAUUACCCUCCUAUAAACCAAUAUUGCCUCUUAUAGGGUCAUUUUUGUC
rnacentral:lncRNA from 1 species